rnacentral:rRNA from 1 species
GACAGAGGGUGCAAACGUUGUUCGGAAUUACUGGGCAUAAAGCGCACGUAGGUGGUCCGCUAAGUCGGGUGUGAAAUCCCCCGGCUCAACCGGGGAAUUGCGCGCGAUACUGGCGGGCUAGAGAUCGGGAGGGGUGAGUGGAACUCCAGGUGGAGCGGUGAAAUGCGUAGAUAUCUGGAGGAACACCGGUGGCGAAAGCGACUCACUGGCCCGACACUGACACUGAGGUGCGAAAGCUAGGGUAGCAAACGGG